rnacentral:snRNA from 1 species
AUGCUUACCUGGCAGGGGAGAGCCCAUGAUCAUGAAGCUGUUUUUCCCAGGGCAGGGCACACCCAUUAUACUCCAGAUGAGCUGACCACGUGAUUUCCCCAAAUGUUGGAAACUUGACUCUAGAAAC